AUGAGGCUGCUGGGUCUCCUCCUGUGCCUUCUGACAGCCCCACAGGGGGUCUGGACCCAGGUGCAGCUGCAGGAGUCUGGUCCAGGAACAGUGAAGCCCUUGCAGACUCUCUCCAUCACCUGCACUGUCUCUGGUUACUCCAUCAGCAGUCCUCACUACUGGCACUGGGUCCGCCAGCCCCCAGGGAAGGGGCUGGAGUGGAUCGGGAGCAUCCAUUUUCAUGGAAGCACUCAGUACAACCCAUCCCUCAAGAGCCGUGCUUCCAUCUCCAGGGACACAUCCAAGAACCAAGUGUCUCUGCAGCUGAGCUCCGUGAGCACCGAGGACUCAGCUGUGUAUUACUGUGCAGGAAACACAGAUGCACAGUGA